AACGCUAGCUACAGGCUUAACACAUGCAAGUCGAGGGGCAGCAUGGUCUUAGCUUGCUAAGGCUGAUGGCGACCGGCGCACGGGUGAGUAACACGUAUCCAACCUGCCGUCUACUCUUGGACAGCCUUCUGAAAGGAAGAUUAAUACAAGAUGGCAUCAUGAGUCCGCAUGUUCACAUGAUUAAAGGUAUUCCGGUAGACGAUGGGGAUGCGUUCCAUUAGAUAGUAGGCGGGGUAACGGCCCACCUAGUCCUCGAUGGAUAGGGGUUCUGAGAGGAAGGUCCCCCACAUUGGAACUGAGACACGGUCCAAACUCCUACGGGAGGCAGCAGUGAGGAAUAUUGGUCAAUGGGCGAUGGCCUGAACCAGCCAAGUAGCGUGAAGGAUGACGGCCCUAUGGGUUGUAAACUGCUUUUAUAAGGGAAUAAAGUGAGUCUCGUGAGACUUUUUGCAUGUACCUUAUGAAUAAGGGCCGGCUAAUUCCGUGCCAGCAGCCGCGGUAAUACGGAAGGUCCGGGCGUUAUCCGGAUUUAUUGGGUUUAAAGGGAGCGUAGGCCGGAGAUUAAGCGUGUUGUGAAAUGUAGAUGCUCAACAUCUGAACUGCAGCGCGAACUGGUUUCCUUGAGUACGCACAAAGUGGGCGGAAUUCGUGGUGUAGCGGUGAAAUGCUUAGAUAUCACGAAGAACUCCGAUUG
rnacentral:rRNA from 1 species